rnacentral:lncRNA from 1 species
AUCUGAUGGCUGACAAAGAGUCCUAAUGCUCAUGGACUAUGAGUCCUACCUAUUUGAGACUCUGUGAUCAAGAAUCAGAAUUUUCUAAUCAUGAGUUUCACACAUUUUGGAUACCAGGGUCAAGAGUCCCACUAGUUUGGGACUUUUUGAUCAGGGUUUCAUAUCGAUGGAUUCUGAUACCCGAUUGCCCAUCAGAUUUAGACUCAGUAUUUAUAAAAGAUUUAAUUAAUAAUUUAAUCAUUA